AGUGAACGCUGGCGGUAGGCCUAACACAUGCAAGUCGAACGGCAGCACAGUAAGAGCUUGCUCUUACGGGUGGCGAGUGGCGGACGGGUGAGGAAUACAUCGGAAUCUACUUUUUCGUGGGGGAUAACGUAGGGAAACUUACGCUAAUACCGCAUACGACCUACGGGUGAAAGCAGGGGAUCUUCGGACCUUGCGCGAUUGAAUGAGCCGAUGUCGGAUUAGCUAGUUGGCGGGGUAAAGGCCCACCAAGGCGACGAUCCGUAGCUGGUCUGAGAGGAUGAUCGGCCACACUGGAACUGAGACACGGUCCAGACUCCUACGGGAGGCAGCAGUGGGGAAUAUUGGACAAUGGGCGCAAGCCUGAUCCAGCCAUACCGCGUGGGUGAAGAAGGCCUUCGGGUUGUAAAGCCCUUUUGUUGGGAAAGAAAAGCAGCAGGUUAAUACCCCGCUGUUCUGACGGUACGCAAAGAAUAAGCACCGGCUAACUUCGUG
rnacentral:rRNA from 1 species